rnacentral:rRNA from 1 species
CAGCAGCCGCGGGAAUACGAAGGGGGCUAGCGUUGCUCGGAAUGACUGGGCGUAAAGGGCGCGUAGGCGGCGGCCAAAGUCAGGCGUGAAAUUCCCGGGCUCAACCUGGGGGCUGCGUUUGAUACUUGGUUGCUUGAGUGGGGAAGAGGGUCGUGGAAUUCCCAGUGUAGAGGUGAAAUUCGUAGAUAUUGGGAAGAACACCAGUGGCGAAGGCGGCUCACUGGACCGACACUGAUGCUGAGGCGCGAAAGCGUGGGGAGCAAACAGGAUUAGAUACCCCCGUAGUCCCUGUCUCUUAUAC